UACGUAGGGGGCAAGCGUUGUCCGGAAUCAUUGGGCGUAAAGCGCGCGUAGGCGGCCCGGUAAGUCCGCUGUAAAAGUCCAGGGCUCAACCCGUGGAAUGCCGGUGGAUACUGCCGGGCUAGAGUCCGGAAGAGGCGAGUGGAAUUCCUGGUGUAGCGGUGGAAUGCGCAGAUAUCAGGAGGAACACCAAUAGCGAAGGCAGCUCGCUGGGACGGUACUGACGCUGAGGUGCGAAAGCGUGGGGAGCGAACAGG
rnacentral:rRNA from 1 species